rnacentral:lncRNA from 1 species
CGCUAAAGGAGUCCUGGAUUCGGCAUAAGUGUGUGCUUCUGGUGAACAGGUGAGGUAAGAGUGAGGGUGAUGCCCUCAGGAGUGAGAAGCGAGGGCAGGGAGGGAAGAACGGAAGAGUCUUGGUGACAGAGUCACCCACCAUGCCAGGUCCUGUCUGCACGCUGUCUCCUGCAAUCCUGCCACUUACCCUGUGGGGUGUGUAGCAUCACCCCAUUAACGGAGGAGGACACUCUGGCUUGGCGAGCACUCUGACACCAGCCCCCUUGGUUACAGUGCGGGAACCCCAGGCCUUCUGUCAACUGCAAGGGCUGGGCUGCCAUUUCCAACUUCAGUUGUCUGCCACCAUGUUGAUGAACAUCACAUCCAAUCCAUUCCUUCCUGGUUGUCUGAUCUGAAUCACUCUUCCUCAGCUUCCCCGUCUGUGAAAUGGGUAGACCAACAGUACCUCCCCUACUGGGCUGUGAGUAGGAUUAAAUGAGUUUGUAUUGGUGAAAAGCCCAGGGCCCAGAAGAAGCAUCCUAUAAUUGCGUAUUCAAUAGAAGAAAUGGCAGGCUCAGCUCCAGGGAAGACAAGACCUAAACCCAGAAGUUGAGUCACCCAGAGCAUGUGGGCCCUUCACAUACAGGAGAGAGUCAUCACGGCCCCCACACAGCAUCAGAUCAGAGAGGCCAGAGAUGCUCUCCUCGGCGACAGUCUGAACCUGCCUCUGGAACCCUGCCCUCAAGUCCCAGGGAAGAGGGAGGGUCCCCUCCCCAUGAUCCCUCCUGGGCAGGAGACACUGGACCCCUGCUUUGAUCCCAGGGAAUCGGGUAAACCAAGUUGUGCUGUCAUCAGGCUCAGAGCUGCACAGCACAUGACGUGGCCAUAGUGGAGACAGAGCAUGUCUGUCCCCCGUCUGGGUCAAGUGCAGUCUAAGCAGGAGCUAUGGGGCUGAAUGGGGCUCACCCACCCAGAGGCCUGCAGGAGCCACACUCAGGCAUGGUCCAGAGCUGCAGAGCCCCC